UACGUAGGGGGCUAGCGUUGUCCGGAAUCAUUGGGCGUAAAGAGCGCGUAGGCGGCCCGAUAAGUCUGCUGUGAAAGUCCAGGGCUCAACCCUGGAAUGCCAGUGGAUACUGUCGGGCUAGAGUACGGAAGAGGCGAGUGGAAUUCCUGGUGUAGCGGUGGAAUGCGCAGAUAUCAGGAGGAACACCAAUAGCGAAGGCAGCUCGCUGGGACGUUACUGACGCUGAGGCGCGAAAGCGUGGGGAGCAAACAGGAUUAGAUACCCUGGUAGUC
rnacentral:rRNA from 1 species